CAGUCGCCGCGGUAAUACGUAGGGUGUGAGCGUUAAUCGGAAUUACUGGGCGUAAAGCGUGCGCAGGCGGCUUUGCAAGACAGAUGUGAAAUCCCCGGGCUCAACCUGGGAACUGCAUUUGUGACUGCAAGGCUAGAGUGCGGCAGGGGGAGAUGGAAUUCCGCGUGUAGCAGUGAAAUGCGUAGAUAUGCGGAGGAACACCGAUGGCGAAGGCAAUCUCCUGGGCCAAUACUGACGCUCAUGCACGAAGGCGUGGGGAGCAAACAGGAUUAGAUACCCCAGUAGUCCCUGUCUCUUAUAC
rnacentral:rRNA from 1 species